AUGAGUUUGAGGAUUCUGUGCAUCGGGCACGUCGUCUUGCUGUGUCCAGAGAGAAGGUGCUGGCGGGUGUGGAGAGUCCAGUCAGUGUGGUCACACAGGAAGACGUCAUCAUUUACCUACAGUGGCUCAUUUGCCAUUUGCACUCUGUCAAAAGCAUCCACAACUUUCUGCAUGAGUAUUUGUAUCAGUGUCAGAGGUCCCCCUGCACUCGGUCAAUAUAGAGGUUUUUAAAACCCAGCUGGACUUCCUCCUGUCACAUUUUGACAUCCAGUAUAAUAACAGAACCAUCAAGACAGCUGGAGAUGAAAUGGAGCUCUUUAGUAUGGUAAUCUUGAUUAGAUUGCAAUUAACAUUUGUGAUAACUAAAUAAAUUAUAAAUGAAAAGGAAAUAAAGGAAAAGU
ensembl:lncRNA